CCCCCCCCCCCCCCCCCCCCCCCCCCCCCCCCCCCCCCCCCCCCCCCCCCCCCCCCCCCCCCCCCCCCCCCCCCCCCCCCCCCCCCCCCCGGGGGGGGGGGGAGGUGGCACCGUCCCUGUCCCUGUCCCCAGGGCUCCCAGUGGCUCCCAGUAAGUCCCAGUUCCCAGGAGUGGCCCCGCAGCCCAAAGGGACAGGAGGGGACAGCAGGACACCGCCCCAAAGUCCCCGUGUCCCCUCCAGGGUCCUUGGCACAGCAGGGAGCAGCGGUGGCACCUCCUGGUGUCACCUCAGGUGUUACUGCCUGGUGGCACCUCUGAUGUCACCUCUGGUGUCACCUCCUGGUGUCACCUCAGGUGUUCCCCCCCCCCCCCCCCCCCCCCCCCCCCCCCCCCCCCCCCCCCCCCCCUGCCUGGUGGCACCUCCCGUGUCCCCUCCAGGGUCCUUGGCACAGCAGGGAGCAGCGGUGGCACCUCCUGGUGUCACCUCAGGUGUUACUGCCUGGUGGCACCUCUGAUGUCACCUCAGGUGUUGCUGCCUGGUGGCAGCUCCUGGUGGCACCUCCAAGGUUCUUCAGUGUCACAUCCCAGGUGUCCCCAGGGUCGUGUUCUUGGUGUCCUCAAUGUCCUCGAUGUCACAUCUCCAGUGUCCCCAGUUCUCCAGUCCCAGUGUUCCCAAUGUCACACCCCUGGUGUCCCCGGUGUCCUGUUCCCAGUGUUCCCAAUGUCACAUCCGCAGUGUCACACCCCUGGUGUCCCCGGUGUCCUGUUCUCAGUGUCCCCAAUGUCACACCCCUGGUGUCCCCGGUGUCCCGUUCUCAGUGUCCCCAAUGUCACACCCCUGGUGUCCCCGGUGUCCCGUUCUCAGUCUUCUUGGUGUCCCAUUCCUGGUGUCCUUGGUGUCCCAUCCCAGUGUCCCCAAUGUCCCAUCCCAGUGUCCCCAGUGUCCCCGUGUCACAAGGUGAAGAUCUCGUCCUCGCUGUCCCCAGUGUCCCCAGUGUCCCCAGUGUCACAAGGUGAAGAUCUCGCCCUCGCUGUCCCCAGUGUCCCCAGUGUCCCCAGUGUCCCCCCCCCCCCCCCCCCCCCCCCCCCCCCCCCCCCCCCCCCCCCCCCCCCCCCCCCCCCCCCCCCCCCCCCCCCCCCCCCCCCCCCCCCCCCCCCCCCC
rnacentral:lncRNA from 1 species